CCAAAAUGAAGACUCAGCAGCAGUCAGUCAGGCAGAAGAACUCUCUCAGACGGACACCACGUUAUUAAAGUCCAUCAUCCUUGCAUGCGCUACACACUCAAAAGCAUUGAUAAAUGCUGAAUUUAAAAGAAUCACUACUGUCUUAUGUUCCUGCGUGUCACCUGGACCUCCAAUCCAAAAACCUGUUCUAUCAGAAAGGAGGACAGCUAGCAAAAAGACUUCAAACAAUGAAUGAUCAAAUGACAGAAGGCAUGGAUGAAGUCAGCAUCAGUGUGGUCAUUUGAAGACACCACUGUUGGGAUUUGUGCUCUCAAACAACAUGCUUCUUGUGAUGAAGAAGAGGAUCUUUGUAUAGUCCUGGAAGGCUUGAAGGUGUUGCAACAUCGUGCCAUGUUGUUUGAGCUGAUGUAUGCCUUAAACCUGAGCUAUCCUGAUCUCUGCUUUAUUUUUGAGGAAAUCCAAAAGAUUUUAAUGGAACUGCAUUGAGCGUAACUUUAACGAACAGUUUCUUUCAGUGAAAGGAUCAGAAAGACUGUGCUGCUCAUUUAUGUUCUUUUUAUUUAUCUGUUUUAAGUGUUUUUUCUUAUUAAAACAUUAACAGUUUGCUGCUCAGAGUUGAUUUUGGAAAUGGUUGUUGUAUUUUGUUUUUGUUGAAUCUUUGAUUAUCAGUUUAUACAAAUGCUGUAGCUCUGACUUUCUGAAGGAUUGAUAUUUUCCAGUUUGUAAAUCCAUUUAAAAAAUAAUAGUACUUACUGUUUUGCAUGUCUCUUUGGAAUGCAGUGUUUGUGCUUUAGCACUUCUAAAUCUACUGUGAUAGUAACUAUUUUAAACAUUUGGGUCAGUUUUACAGAUGGGGCUUUUUCUAGUCCCAGACUUUUGCAAUGCCUUAAUUUGAAAACAUAUUGCACUGACAUAUCUUGACAUAUAUCAGUGCCAUUGUUUUGUCUCAAGAUGUACUCCAGUGUUGUUUUUGUAAGGUAGGUUUGUUUGUAAACUUUUUUUGUAAAAAAUAUCCUAAUAUAGCUAGGGCCUAGUCAUGGAUUAAUCUACAACCUGUUUGGGAAAUUGCCCCUUUGUAUGUACUGCAUGUGCUGAUUGUUGUAAUAGUUAUUGACUGUUGUUGAAUUAAUGUGUAGUGAUUUACAUGAAUUGAUGAUCUGAAAGCAGUGGUUUGCCUCAAUAUCACUAAACUUUUGUUUAAAACUCUUUGCUUUUUAUGCCAAUGCAAAUGUAUUUUGUAUUUAAAAAAGAAAUAAAUAACAUUUGGAUAAUUAUGGAUGAUUAUUCUGGUGCCAGAAACAUAAUGAAAUUGCUUUAGAGUUACAUAAUCCCAUAAUAUAAGCAUUAAAAAAGCAUGUUGGAAUUACAGAUGAAAAUCUAGUCCCCUUACAUAAUAAAAUUACUUAAACAUUACAAAAUAAAUGUGUUAUAGUAAAGAGAAAUAGCACUUUGAGUCAACAUAUUUA